rnacentral:lncRNA from 1 species
UUUCUCAGUCGGCAGAAGUGAUCCCAAGCAGUACCGACCGCCAUCAAGAGUUCUUAUAGUUUUUUGGGAAAAUAUUCCAAAAUUGGCCCAAAAAACUAGUUUUUCUUUUAAUUUUGGAAACAAUUCUGUCAAAACUACUCCGAGACUCUAAAUGCACUUUUGUUUUUUUCUAAUGGCAUCGUGUCACCUGUGGGAAGGUGCAUGCAAAAGUCUGGAUCAAAAUUUCAAGGCAGCCCCAAGAAGGCCCAUGAAAAACGCCAAAAUCGGUGUGCUAUAGCCUUUAACUUUAGGGCUUGAGUAGAGAAGUUUAGUUUUUUCUCCAAAAGUAACCCGGUUUUUCUCCCCUAGGACAUUCCUUGGGUCGGUGCGAGUGCUCUCAAUUAGUGUCCCCGUUAGGAGGCUCUCGUAGUUUUUUAAGAAUUUAUUCAAAAAAAUAGGCUGAAAAAACUAAUUUUCUUUCAAUUUUGAAAAACAAAUUCACCAAAACUACUUUGUGCCUCAAAUAUCCAUAUUUAGAGUAGUAAAUGUAAAUGAAUUGAUCAAUACAGCAGAUUGUAUACUGUCUAAUAAAACCUACUUCUAGUUGUGUGGUAGGAAUAUUAUGGCAAGAUCGUGGAGAAUGACAUAUCAUACAUGUUUGACAAUUGUGCAAUAGCUACCUAACACCACCACGCAACAUGUAAGUAAAAUACAGUAUCUAUGGAUUUUCGAUCGGGGCAUGAGCAUUGGGCAUGCAACUUCUGGAUUUCUUCUUCGCUUGGUUGGGACCCCGCUGGUUAGGUUUCAAAAUGUGGUUAUUGUUGCUUUUAGUAGCUAGACUUGGCCACAGGUAAUGAUAUAUGGACAUUGUGAGCUGGCUGAAAUUGACUACUCAAGAGUCACACGCACAAACAUACAUAUGAUAUACACACGCACAGAGCAGCACUAUCAAUCGAUUAUUUCAUUUAUUAUUUGCUUUAAUUUAUUCAUUUGAGCCUUGUUAUUAGCUAGGUUUUGGGAAUUAUUUAAUUUACUUUAUGAUUGGAUAUGACUCUGCGUAUGAAAAAGAAAAAAUAUUGCAAGUGUGAUGGAGCGAGGUAGAGGAAGCGGAAUGAUAGGUUAGAUAUACCUUAGAUAUCGUUUUAAUACUAGAUCAAGCUAAUAGAUUAGAUUACGCUCUAAUCAAAGUAUAAUCACUCUAAUCGAAAUGGCUCAGUGAGAUUUUAACUACACUUUAGGUGAGAUUAAAUGACACUCUAAUUCAAAUCAUUUUACAAAAGAGAUUUUUAUAGUAAU